UCAAUUUUUAUACGACCGCAAAAAAAAUUUUGUGGUCGUAUAUUGGUAUGACGUUGGCGUUGUCGUCGUCGUCGUCGUCGUCGUCAUCCGGCGUCGUCGUCCGAAUACACAUUAGUUUUCGCACUCUUACUUUAGUUUAAGUGAAUGGAUCUCAUUGAAAUUUUACCAUAAGGUUCAAUACCACAAAAGGAAGGUGGGGAUUGAUUUUGGGGGUUAUGGUACUAACAGUUAAGGAAUUAGGGGCCAAAAGGGGCCAAAAAUAAGCAUUUUUGUAACUUCCAGACAUAACUUGUGUGUAAGUGUAUGGAUCUCUCUGACAUUGUACCACAAGGUUCCAUAUCACAAAGGGAAUGCUGGGAUUGAUUUUGGGGGUAAUUGUCUCCAAAUUUUAGGAAUUAGGGGCCAAAAAGGGGCAAAAAACAAGCAUUUUUCUAGUUUCAUGACAAUAACUUGUUUGUAAGUGUAUGGAUCUUUAUGAAAUUGUACUACAAGGUUCCAUAUCACAAAGGGAAGGCUGGGAUUGAUUUUGGGGGUUUUCCCUCAAAAUUUUAGUAAUUAGGGGCCAUAAAAGGGCAAAAAAAACAUGCAUUUUUCUAGUUUCAGGACAAUAACUUGUUUGUAAGUGUAUGGAUCUUUAUGAAAUUGUACUACAAGGUUCCAUAUCACAAAGGGAAAGCUGGAAUUGAGUUUGGGGGUAAUUGCCCUAAACGUUUAGGAAUCUGGGGCCAAAAAGGGGCCAAAAAACAAGCAUUUAUCUAGUUUCCAGACAAUAACUUGUGUUCAAGUGUAUGAAUCUCUCUGAAAUUGUACUGCAAGGUACCAUACCACAAAGGGAAAGCUGGGAUUGAGUUUGGGGGCGAUGAAUCAUAAGGGGGUUCAAAAAAUUGGGGGGGGGGAUUUUUUUUUUCCUUUUUUUUCUUUAACAUUUUCCAUUUUAAAUUGGUUAUUUCUGAUUUAUAUAUAAAAGCAAAUAAUAAUGAUAUGGUUUGAAUAGGCAUACAUGUGAACCUCCCGACGGGAGUACAAUAAUCCCGUUUUCAGGGGUCUCCUCCCCCCCUCCCGUUGAAAAAAUCCCGUGUAUGAAAUUUUUCAUGAAUGAAAAAUUUCUGCCCAACAUAACAUCUCAGGCAUCUGGUGUAACUGACAUUACCUGAAGUUAUAUUUUACCUGUAAAUCAAUUAACAUGCAUAAUUAUAUGGCUUCACUUGUCAGCUUGGGUGUCAAACAUACUGGUAAGCAAUGAUUUUUACCUCAGGCUAACUGCCGUUGUGUAACAAAAACUGUGUAUUUAUUGGGUUACUUCCCUUGAUUUAUCCUGUUUUAAGUUACUUUCCUUUUAAUAAUGAAAAUUUUUAAAAGAAUAUAAAUAAAAUAUAAAUUGAACAAAUAAUCAUAAAAGGAUGGUUAUUAAAUGAUUUUAAAUGUCUUAGGACAAAUAAAAAAAUAAUAAUUUGAAAAUUAUUUGAGGAUUCUAUACUUCCUUUUAAGGCUUAAAUUGAAAUUUAUAUAAUAACUAUGACCCUAACUUUACAGACAGAAUGAAUUUCUGAGUUUGCAAAUAAAAA